AUUGAACGCUGGCGGCAGGCCUAACACAUGCAAGUCGAGCGGAGCGGCGGACGGGUGAGUAAUGCCUAGGAAUCUGCCUGGUAGUGGGGGAUAACGUCCGGAAACGGGCGCUAAUACCGCAUACUAUCAGAUGAGCCUAGGUCGGAUUGGCUAGUUGGGGGGGAAAAGGCCUACCAGGGCGACGAUACGGAACUGGUCUGAGGGGAUGAUCAGUCACACGGGAACUGGGACACGGUCCAGACUCCUACGGGAGGCAGCAGGGGGGAAUAUUGGACAAGGGGCGAAAGCCUGAUCCAGCAAUGCCGGGUGGGGGAAGAAGGUCUUCGGAUUGUAAAGCACUUUAAGCGGGGCGGCGUUACCAACAGAAUAAGCACCGGCUAACUUCGUGCCAGCAGCCGCGGUAAUUC
rnacentral:rRNA from 1 species